rnacentral:rRNA from 1 species
AAAUUGAAGAGUUUGAUCAUGGCUCAGAUUGAACGCUGGCGGCAGGCCUAACACAUGCAAGUCGAACGGUAACAGGAAGCAGCUUGCUGCUUCGCUGACGAGUGGCGGACGGGUGAGUAAUGUCUGGGAAACUGCCUGAUGGAGGGGGAUAACUACUGGAAACGGUAGCUAAUACCGCAUAAUGUCGCAAGAC